rnacentral:rRNA from 1 species
AGCGGCGGACGGGUGAGUAACGCGUGGGAACAUGCCCUUUGCUACGGAACAGUCCUGGGAAACUGGGUUUAAUACCGUAUGUGCCCUUCGGGGGAAAGAUUUAUCGGCAAAGGAUUGGCCCGCGUUGGAUUAGGUAGUUGGUGGGGUAAAGGCCUACCAAGCCGACGAUCCAUAGCUGGUUUGAGAGGAUGAUCAGCCACACUGGGACUGAGACACGGCCCAGACUCCUACGGGAGGCAGCAGUGGGGAAUCUUAGACAAUGGGGGCAACCCUGAUCUAGCCAUGCCGCGUGAGCGAUGAAGGCCUUAGGGUUGUAAAGCUCUUUCGCUGGGGAAGAUAAUGACGGUACCCAGUAAAGAAGCCCCGGCUAACUCCGUGCCAGCAGCCGCGGUAAUACGGAGGGGGCUAGCGUUGUUCGGAAUUACUGGGCGUAAAGCGCGCGUAGGCGGAUUGGAAAGUUGGGGGUGAAAUCCCGGGGCCCAACCCCGGAACUGCCUCCAAAACUAUCAGUCUUGAGUUCGAGAGAGGUGAGUGGAAUUGCGAGUGUAGAGGUGAAAUUCGUAGAUAUUCGCAGGAACACCAGUGGCGAAGGCGGCUCACUGGCUCGAUACUGACGCUGAGGUGCGAAAGUGUGGGGAGCAAACAGGAUUAGAUACCCUGGUAGUCCACACCGUAAACGAUGAAUGCCAGACGUCGGGUAGCAUGCUGCUCGGUGUCACACCUAACGGAUUAAGCAUUCCGCCUGGGGAGUACGGUCGCAAGAUUAAAACUCAAAU